UACGGAGGGGGCUAGCGUUGUUCGGAAUUACUGGGCGUAAAGCGCGCGUAGGCGGACCUGCAAGUCGGGGGUGAAAUCCCGAGGCUCAACCUCGGAACUGCCUUCGAUACUGCGGGUCUCGAGUCCGGGAGAGGUGAGUGGAAUUCCUAGUGUAGAGGUGAAAUUCGUAGAUAUUAGGAAGAACACCAGUGGCGAAGGCGGCUCACUGGACCGGUACUGACGCUGAGGUGCGAAAGCGUGGGGAGCAAACAGG
rnacentral:rRNA from 1 species